rnacentral:rRNA from 1 species
CCCUUAGAUGUCCUGGGCCGCACGCGCGCUGCACUGACAUGUUCAACAAGUUUCUCCUAGUUCGACAGGACUGGGAAAUCUUUGAACGCAUGUCGUGAUAGGGAUAGAUCAUUGCAAUUAUUGAUCUUGAACGAGGAAUUCCUAGUAAACGCGAGUCAUCAGCCCGCAUUGAUUACGUCCCUGCCCUUUGUACACACCGCCCGUCGCACCUACCGAUUGAAUGUUUCGGUGAAGAUUCCGGAUAGGACUGAUUUGAUUUAUUUCAUUUCUGACCUAAAAGCUAUCUAAACCUCAACAUUUAGAGGAAGGUGAAGUCGUAACA